rnacentral:rRNA from 1 species
CCUACGGUGCGCAGCAGUGAGGAAUAUUGGUCAAUGGACGGAAGUCUGAACCAGCCAUGCCGCGUGCAGGAAGACGGCUCUAUGAGUUGUAAACUGCUUUUGUACAAGGGUAAACCUGAAUACGUGUAUUCAGCUGAAAGUACUGUACGAAUAAGGAUCGGGUAACUCCGUGCCAGCCGCCGCGGAAAUACGGAGGAUACAAGCGUUAUCCGGAUUUAUUGGGGUUAAAGGGUGCGUAGGAGGAUUGAUAAGUUAGAGGUGAAAUGUCCGAGUUUAACUCGGGAACUGCCUCUAAUACGGUUGAUCUAGAGAGUAGAUGCGGUAGGCGGAAUGUAUGGUGUAGCGGUGAAAUGCUUAGAGAUCAUACAGAACACCGAUUGCGAAGGCAGCUUACCAAUCUAUAUCUGACGUUGAGGCACGAAAGCGUGGGGAGCAAACAGGAUUAGAUACCCCAGUAGUC